UCCUGGGUGGCUCAGAGGGUAAAGUGACUGCCUGCAAUGCGGGAGACCCAGGUUCAAUCCCUAGGUCAGGAA
rnacentral:tRNA from 1 species